ACUUCUCCUUAGAAAAAAUGCCUUGCAAUGCGUCAUAAUUAUCUGGACUACUAACUUACUUGAACUUCCAUAUAACUUCGAAAACAGACAAUAAUCUAUUUCACUGGAUGAGAUUGGGCUCACGGAUUUUUUAAUGGAUUGGUAAUUUUUAUUUAUAGCACAAGUUUACAAAGCAAGAUUAAUCACAUUUUUCAUCCUACAAAUGGUUGCCUCCUUACUGACUUACACCUACACUAGCUAAAAAACAUAUUCAUAUGAACAUUUGGUAUCAUUUAUUUUGUGUGACAACUCUUCACCAAUGACCUGAGUGAAAGGUUGACGGGCGGAUCCAGAACUUUUCAUUUGGGGGGGGGGGUUCAGAUGGGGGAUGCUUGCCUCAGUCAUGUUUCUGUGAUUCCCUAUAUAAUCAACAAAAUUUUUCACACAAAAAGGGGGGCAGGGAUUUCUCCUUAAUAAGAAAUCUCUAUUUUCAGCAUAAGCUCAUAUAAAUUUGCCUUUUGAAGAACUGAAAUAAAUAUGAGACGGCUAAUGAUUUUUCAGAUGCUUUACAUUAAAAUACAUCCAUGUGACAUACACAAUUAUAUAUACAUUGUAGAUCCAAAUUUAAAAAGCUAUUUUUUUCAAUAUUUAAAUAAUGUAGGAUCAAAUCUUGAUACAUGUAUGUAGUUGAAAUUGUUAGCUUUAAACAUUAAAAAAUGAACACCCAAAGUUUAAACAUAAGAAUGACCAUGCAGUCUUUAUUAAUAGAUAUAGGAAGAUGUGGUGUGAGUGCCAAUGAGACAACUCUCCAUACAAACAAUUUAAAAAGUCAUUAUAGUUAAAUACGGCCUUCAACACGGAGCCUUGCUCACCCGAACAACAAGCUAUAAAGGGCCCCAAAAUUACUAUGUAAAACAUUCAAACGGGAAAACCAACGGUCUAAUCCAUAUAAACAAAACGAGAAACGAGAAACAAUGUAUGCUAUUGCUAUGAAACUAGGUCAUUGUAGGUAAACUGUCAUCUAUUCCCUUAAAUCUUUGUUCCCAGUCACCCCAAGUUUGAUUUAAAUUAGUCAAGUAUAUCUACUCUAUUAGGUCUCUAGUUCAUUUAGUUUGGAUAGUGUAUAACUUGCAAAUUAAAAUCAUACUCCUCCCAAAUUUAUUUCUUUAAAUAUUAUGGAUGAAAUAGCAAGUAAGGGAUGAAAUUAAAUUGGAUGAAAUGUGGCAUUUUUUUUUGGAUAAAGUAGUAUGUCUGAUGUUGUCAAACUUAAUUAUAGACCCUUAAGGGGCGGAUCCAGUCAUUUUAAAAAGGGGUGGGGGUGGGAUUCUAACCCAGGACAAAAGGGGAAGCGGGGGGGGGGGGGGGGGGUCCAAUUACAUGUCCCUAUUCAAAUGCAUUGAUAAUCCAAAAAAAGGGGUUCCAAUCCCUUGAACCCCCUCUGGAUCCGUGCCUGCCCUUUAAAAAUAAAAUUAUCCUUAUUUUGAGUUAAAGCUUAUAGAUUUUUCUAUAAUGCUUCUCAGGGGCGGAUCCAGCCAUUUUAAAAGGGGGGUCCCAACCAAGAGUAAAGAGGGGUUCCAACUAUAUCUCCCAUUCAAAUGCAUUGCUCGGUAAAAGAAAAGGAUUCCAACCCUCGAAUCUAUGGUCAGGUUGUUGUCUCUUUGACACAUUCCCUUUUUCCAUUCUCAAUUUUAUCAUGUAGUCGUCGUUGUCCCAGGACAUUUAGUUUUCGCUUAAUUACUUUAGUACAAGUUAAUAGAAAUCUAUGAAAUUCAAACACAAGGUUUGUGACCAGAGUGUUUUGUUCAGAGUUUAGGAAUUAACAUGAAUUAGGGGCCAAAAGGGGCCAAUAUUAAACUUUGUUUGAUUUUAUAGAAAAUUGAAUUAUUGGAGUUCUUUGAUAUGCCAAAUCUAACUGUGUAUUUAGAUUCCUAGUUUUUUGGUCCUGUUUAAAUUGGUCUACCUUAAGGUCCAAAGGGUCCAAAAUUAAACUUAUUUUGAUUUUAACAAUAUUUAAAUUCUUGGUGUUCAGAUUAAUAUGCUGAAUCUGAAUAUUUACUUAGAUUUUUUUAUUAUGGGCCCAAAUUUCAAGUUGGUCCAAAUCGGGGUCCAAAAUUUUACUUUGUUUGAUUUCAACAAAAAUUGAUAUUAUAUGGGGCUCUUUGAUAUGCUGAAUCUAACCAUUCAUUAAUAUUUUUGAUAUUUUGGCCCGUUAUCAAAUUGGUCCACAUUGAGUUCUAAAGGGUCCAAAAUUUAACUUUAUUUGAUUUCAUCAAAAAAUGAAUUAUUGGGGUUCUUUGAUCAUGUUGAUAUGCUGCAUCUAACCAUGUAUUGAGAUUUUGAAUAUUGGACCAUUUUAGAGGUUAAUUGUCAAUUUAAAAUUUUUAAGUACUUGGACCACAUUCAUUCUGUGUCAGAAACCUAUGCUGCAUCAACUAUUGAAUCACAAUCCAAAUUUAAAAUUCAGAGUUGUAUCGAGCUUGAAUGUUGUGUCCAUACUUGCCCCAACUGUUCUGGGUUCAACCUGUACGUUUGUAUCAAGCUGAGCCAUGCAUAGCAUUUUUAUUGGUUAUUUAUAUAUUAAUUUGAAAUUUUGACGAGUGAGACACAUACAGAUUAUACUGUUAACAAUAUUUCAGAGUUUAACGUAGUCAAGCGAAACAAAUUAUAGAAGAAUAGUUGAAUCAUGUCUUUGUUGUCCAAUGAAAAAUUAGUACGAACACAAAGAAAAAGUAUGGGAAUGUUUGUUUUUUAAACUAUUGACCAGGGUGAAAGUCUUUGAAAGUCAUGACUGGCAAAAAGUUUGUGAAAUGAAAUAGCACAAAUAUUCCAUUCUUUUUAAAAUAUAACUGCAUAUAAAGAAAAACACAAACUGAUGUUUAAUAAUAGUUUUUACCCUUUUUAUGUUUUAUAGGACAAGAAAUAUAGAAAAAUAAUGAAAAAUAUAAACAGUUACAAUAGAAAUGAGCGCAAAACAAGAUAAACAGAAUACAACAAGGCCUAAAUGGUAAGACCACUUCUAUAUACUGUAAAUUCAGAUUUUUUCAGGGAAUGGACAACUUAUUGUGAUUACAAAAAAAAUCUGCAUAAAGAUCUAUAUAGUUACAUGAUAUAUAUAUAUAUAUAUAUGUUUCUGUUAUCAAAAUAUGAUUUCUUAUUUUUGCGAUACUCACCCAGUCACAUUAUUCGCAUUACUAAAAAGUUUCGAUAAUUUCUGAAUUACAGUAAUAAAAGAAAUUGCCUUUGAAUGAUGACUCAUAUAAAAAUAAGAAAAUGUGGUAUGGUAAAUGAGUGACUUAUCCACCAGAGUUCAAUGAAGCGGAUGCAAGAAAUUAAAGGCCAAUCAUGGCCUGCCUUCAAUAAUGAGAAAACACUUCCUUUAUAGGUCAUCCAUUAAAGAUCUCAACAUAUAAAGAUUUAAACAAUCCAAUUUAGUUCAACAUGUUCAAAGUCAAUAACAAUUAAUAAAAAAAAAUCAUGCCUAAUAUAAAAUAUUGUUUGUUUCUCCAAUCCUGACCGACCCUGCAAAAAUGGCCCUACUCAUAAAAUUUUAUUGUCAAAACUAAGCCAAAUAUUAUUUUAUUCAUUUCUGAUUUUCGGGCUUGCCGGAUCAUCCGAUAAUAUUCAGGCUUUUUGGGAAAAAUAAAAUUAUUUACCUACCUACCUACCCACACCUGGCUUGUCAGAAUAGGGAUUAGGGAAACAAACAAUAUAUUAAUUUAGGCCUCAUGUCUGUGAGCACUCAACCUGACCAUAAUAUAGGACAGUGGUUCAAAUAUUAACACAACAUAUGAACAUUCUAUAACAACUAUUGCAAGUGGCUCAACUUUAAAUAUCACUGCAAGGCACUAAACAACGAAUAUAAACUCUUGGACACAAAGCACUGAAAUAAGAGAACUCAUAAGCAUGACAAGUAAGAAUAUCAAAUGAAAGUUUCUCAAAAUGUUCAUUAAAACAUGAUAAAAUAAGCUUAUUUAUAUUGCUGUUUUUUUCUCCAUUUAUAACAUUUUUUUUUUUAUUUUGUGUAUUUAUAGGUCAGAUAUCUUGGUUUUUAUGAUCAUCAACAGGUCCUGCAGGUCUAUACUGAAGAGGAAACUUAAUUGUUAAUACUUUUCUACAUAAUGUGCUAAUUGGAUUAUUAAUGUGAAAUGAAC
rnacentral:lncRNA from 1 species